AGAGAUCGAUGCCAACCGCUUUCCCAAGCAGUUCCCCCACCACGCGCUGGAGAUGGUGGGGCGGGGGAGAAGCAGAGGGGCCCGUCACAUGAAUGUUGUUCCCUCUCUAGGAAGGGAGGAAGAGAGGGAGGGAGGGGAGGGAAGGAAGGAGGGGAAGGGAGAUGGGAGGGGGCACGCGGGAGGGAGGGGUGUGAUCAGAGUAGAUUUUCCCUCGCCUCCCUCGGUCCGAGGCCCAAAUAUACACAACUGAGCCUCCUCGUUCUCCCCUCCCCCCUAGGCUACCAGCACCACCAUUUUGCUCUCUUCCUUCCCCUCACCACGAAACCGCGCUCUCCCCCACCCCAGCCCCAGCCUCCCCGGCCUGCCUCCCCCGCAACUGGGCUCGCACUCCACCCCACCUCCAGUUUUGGCUCUCCCAGGCUUAAGAGCCUGCCGGAGAAAAGCAACCUAAAUCUAACGCUGCACAGGGAAGCGGAGCCUCCAUCUUGCGCUGCUCCGCGUUCUCCAUUUUGGGCCACCCGUGGGGGGGGGGUCCUCCGUAGAGGCCCCGAGGGAGAGUUGGGCGAGGGAAGGAAGAGAAAAUCUUCAGCGAGGGUAGUCGAAAAGAAGAGUCCUGCGGUAGAAAGCGACUCUAGGAGUAGGAGAGCUGGGGCUCAAACUCAGGACCUCGUCUGUACUGGGAAAGGAUCUACUUCUGAGUGACAUCCCCAGCUGUUUCGUCACUCUAUCCCACCAGUUUCCCACAGCUUCUGAAACUUUCUGAGGGGCUGCAGGUUCAAACUCAAAAUUCUUCCCUCACUGCCUGCCUCAAAGGGACAGUGGUUUUUUAGGUUGUUACGUGCUUGUUCAAAUUUUGCUUCAAUGACUAACUGGACUACCUAUUGGAUCAAUCAAGUCAGUAUUUGUCGAAAGAGGGAAAACUAUUGUUCAUAUUUUCAUACACUUAAAAUAUUUUUCCCUUUUUUGGGUGCUAGGUAUUAAACCGAGGGCCUCAUGCAUGCCAGGCACGUAUUUUACCACUAGGCAACAUUCCCAACCCUCAUUUUAGUAUUUUUAUUAUUUAUUUAUUUAUUUGGUGGUUUCUGGGAUCGAACUCAGGACCUUGUGGUUAGGAGACAGGCGUGUUGCCACUGAGCUGAAUCCCCGGCCCCCAUUUUAGUAUUUUUAAAAGGGCUACUUUUAUUGUCUUCUAAGAAAGUAAAGCAAGCUGGGCACGGUGGC
rnacentral:lncRNA from 1 species